rnacentral:rRNA from 1 species
UACGUUCCCGGGCCUUGUACACACCGCCCGUCACACCACGAAAGUUGACUGCACCAGAAGUCGCCGCAAGGCGCCCAAGGUGCGGUUGAUGAUUGGGGUG